GGCAAGUUCGGAUGGCCCGGCUCCUUUCGGGGCUGCGUGCUGUCUCUGAGUUUGCCAUCCUUCCAGAGAGCUGUGCCUACCGCUUCUGCGGCCGGGCGCAGUGAUCUGGAUCUUUUACUUUGAAAAAAUUAGAGUGUUCCAAGCAGGCUUACGCUUUGAAUACAUUAGCAUGGAAUAAUAAUAUAGGACUUUGGUUCUAUUUUGUUGGUUUCUAGGACUGAAGUA
rnacentral:rRNA from 1 species